rfam:Hordeum vulgare subsp. vulgare, WGS project CAJW01000000 data, contig: morex_contig_1582598
GCUAGGAAGAGGUAGAUGGAGAGAGCAUAAUAUUAGUGGGAAUGAGAACACCGAAGAAAUCCUGACUUAUGGGUUAUCCUCCUCUUGUGUUGAGGUGGAAAUCCAGAUUGGUGUUUCGAGUGCCUCUCAUUCCUAUCGUUCUUAUGUGCUCCUUCCUCUUCAUUUUUGGU